GCAAUUUCCAGUAUAAAGAUUAUAAUCAAAACUGUCACGCAAGUGAUGAUGAUUCUGAAACCUUUGUGGAAUAGUCGUUUUGGACCCGGGGGCGGUACCCGGCACCUCCACCAAGAAAAUUUAUGGGGGUGAACCAGUUUCGACAGGCGAAGUAAAGACAAUUUGGCUGAAUCCGACGCGGUGUCGUUAAAAACCAAUAAAAAAAUGAAUGCGAACGAUAAUGUUCGUCUUGCAAUGGCUGCCUAACACUUAGGUUGAACAUAGUUGGCAAUUGUUGAUUAUGUUCGUUUAAGCUUUUGCGGGGCCACCGGGUGCCUGGCACCAGAAACC
rnacentral:tmRNA from 1 species